AUCGAUGUUGCUCUUAGAUGCUUUAUAUGUUUUGUGGGCGAGCUUCUUAUCCCUAAUCAGCUUAUGUAGUUUACUACUAAACCAUGGCGGAUGACUGUGUAAAAGUUUUCAACAUUUGAUUCCAAAUCUCCAUUGAAAAAUAGUGAAUGCCAGUCCACGGAACGAAUGUAGUCAUUGAUUUGAUCAUAAGGAGCCUUCGAGAAAUUGAAUUUGUAGACUGGUUGUUGAUUCGAGUCAUCACACUUGAAGAAACCUUGGUGGGUGUGAAGCGCUACACUAAGUGCUGGGUGGUAGGAAUCACAGUUAACUAAAUUAAUAUCACAGUUAGAAACGGAAGUAUCACAGUUAGAAAAGACUAGAUCAAGGAUAUUGUCAUUCACCCGGUUGUUGAUUGAGUUGAAUUGAUGGAAGCCGAACAGGUUGAAUGCGUCACAUAUAAGCUCUGAAAUGCGGUUGCGAUUACAAAAAGUAGUAAGGUGUCCAUCUUCCUCGUCGCUAUCCCAAGUGGUGUUAGUCAGGUUAUAAUCUCCUAACAGUAUAACUCUGGCUUCCGGGAAUUUAUCAAGAGCUGAUUCCACAGACGUUAUGUGGGAUUCAUAGAUCAUACAUCAGAGUUGGGCGGGAUAUAGGUACAGCAAACAAGAAUGGUCCCCUGAGGACUUAAAUCGAUUAUUGCCCAAAUUUCUUCAACGAUGGAAACUUGAUGUACAUUCAGAGGAAGCGAUUUGAAUGUUGAUUUGAUUGCGACAAGCACACCACCACCACGAACUUUGACACUCGUUACGGGCGACCUAUCUUUGCGGAGUUAACCACGUUUCCGUUAAAGCAAUAACGUCGAAAUCGAUGGAUAGUGAAUUACAAUAAACCGAUUUCACCUUAGUCUUUAGGCCUCUAACAUUUUGAUAA